rnacentral:rRNA from 1 species
CAGUCGCCGCGGGAAUACGAAGGGGGCUAGCGUUGCUCGGAAUGACUGGGCGUAAAGGGCGCGUAGGCGGAAUGCUUUGUCGGGCGUGAAAUUCCAGGGCUUAACCUUGGGGCUGCGUUCGAGACGGGUAUUCUAGAGUGGAGAAGAGGGUCGUGGAAUUCCCAGUGUAGAGGUGAAAUUCGUAGAUAUUGGGAAGAACACCGGUGGCGAAGGCGGCGACCUGGUCUUUUACUGACGCUGAGGAGCGAAAGCGUGGGGAGCGAACAGGAUUAGAUACCCGCGUAGUCCCUGUCUCUUAUAC